CUUAACACAUGCAAGUCGAGGGGUAUGCCGAUUUAUCGGCAGAGACCGGCGCACGGGUGCGUAACGCGUAUGCAAUCUACCUUCACAGAGGGAUAGCCAGAGUAAAAUUUGGAUUAAUACCUCAUUAGUAUAGCAGUUUCGCAUGAAACCACUAUUAAAGUCACAACGGUGAAAGAUGAGCAUGCGUCCCAUUAGCUAGUUGGUAAGGUAACGGCUUACCAAGGCAACGAUGGGUAGGGGUCCUGAGAGGGAGAUCCCCCACACUGGUACUGAGACACGGACCAGACUCCUACGGGAGGCAGCAGUGAGGAAUAUUGGACAAUGGGCGCAAGCCUGAUCCAGCCAUGCCGCGUGCAGGAUGACGGUCCUAUGGAUUGUAAACUGCUUUUAUACAGGAAGAAACACUACUUCGUGAAGUAGCUUGACGGUACUGUAAGAAUAAGGAUCGGCUAACUCCGUG
rnacentral:rRNA from 1 species